CUUGGUCAAGAGCAGCAAAGCCACCGAGGGUAGUACGAACGUAGCCAGCUCGGGUUUCGAAAAAGCCGACAAGCCGGACGCCAAGGACGCCACGGAGCUGGAGAUCUCCGCUGGUGGGCUCGCUUCGGCGGGCAAUUCGCGCUCGAUGGCGGCUACGUCUGCAGGCAAAUUCCGGCUGCGCCGCAGCGCCGAUCAAUUUGGGGCCGCGAUCGCCGCAAACUACGCGGAAUCGGCGGUAAACAAAGGCCAAGGCCUGGAGACGACGGUCGAGAACUUUCAGGCUAGGGUCCGCUACGACCGAUUCUUGGCCGGCUCAUUCGCCAUGUUCGGUGCGGUCUCCGCUCGUCAUGACCGCUUUCAGGGCCUCGACCUGCGAAUCAACCUGGAUCCGGGCUUCGGCUACUACUU
rnacentral:misc_RNA from 1 species